rnacentral:rRNA from 1 species
UACGUAGGGUGCAAGCGUUGUCCGGAAUUAUUGGGCGUAAAGAGCUUGUAGGCGGUUUGUCGCGUCUGCUGUGAAAUUUCGGGGCUCAACCCCGAACUUGCAGUGGGUACGGGCAGACUAGAGUGUGGUAGGGGAGACUGGAAUUCCUGGUGUAGCGGUGAAAUGCGCAGAUAUCAGGAGGAACACCGAUGGCGAAGGCAGGUCUCUGGGCCACCACUGACGCUGAGAAGCGAAAGCAUGGGGAGCGAACAGG